GUUCCCGGGCCUUGUACACACCGCCCGUCACACCAUGGGAGUGGGUUGCAAAAGAAGUAGGUAGCUUAACCUUCGGGAGGGCGCUUACCACUUUGUGAUUCAUGACUGGGGUGAAGUCGUAACAAGGUAACCGUAGGGGAACCUGCGGUUGGAUCACCUCCUUA
rnacentral:rRNA from 1 species